GAUGUCACGAAUUGGAAAAGAGCAGAAAAGAUGGCCGGGGACAGCAACGACAACGACAAGGAACGGACUGGAAAACUACCGACUACAAAUAAGCUGUUAUCAAGGCGAAAGCCUACUGUGUAUUCACCAAUGUCAACUCACAUUAGGCACUAACAAUGCCCCUGUGACUGGUGGAACGCCUCCCUUUGGGCUUUCCAAUCAAAUGUGGCCCCAUGUGGACCUGCACGUCCUAACAACAGACAGGCCAACGUGGACUUCUAAGGGGAGCUUUGUGCUCUGACAAGAGCCUCAAUGUAUCCACCCAUGACACAUGACCGAAGGAAAGGAUUUUUGAUUUCAAAACAGCAAGAACAAUAUUUACUGUUCAUCUUGUUUUCUGCUUCCUCAACAGUACAAUUGUAGAGUCUAUUUAAUGCACUUUGCAUUAAGCUUGUGUUUUGAGUUAGGAACAAGAGGAACGGGACUGUGAACAACGAAAAACAGUCAGUAAUUGAUGCACCCAUUAAAUUUUUUUAUAAUUGCUUCUAUUAAUCGUUUAAACUCUAAAUAUACUACAUCACAAAACAAUUUAGUGUAAUUUCAAACUCAUUUUGCAACAUUACCCAUAAACAUGAAUGGUUUACAAAUAGGCCUACAAAACAAAACAUACACGUGACAAAGAGUCUCCCACACUAACAUAUAAACGUAGCUCCUCCCUGACAUGCAAAGAUUUUAAUCUCUCAGUCGAUCUUAUUCUAACCUAUUUC